GGAUAACCCGGAGAAAUCCGGCCUAAUACCGCGUAACACCUUUUGGGAGCAUUCCCGGGAGGUUAAAGGAGAGAUCCGGCAUAGGAUGGACAUGCGUCGCAUUAGGUAGACGGCGGGGUAACGGCCCACCGUGCCGACGAUGCGUAGGGGUUCCGAGAGGAAGGCCCCCCACACUGGUACUGAGACACGGACCAGACUCCUACGGGAGGCAGCAGUGAGGAAUAUUGGUCAAUGGCCGAGAGGCUGAACCAGCCAAGUCGCGUGAGGGAAGAAUGUCCUAAGGAUUGUAAACCUCUUUUGUCGGGGAGCAAAAAGGCUCUGCGGAGUCGUAUUGAGAGUACCCGAAGAAAAAGCAUCGGCUAACUCCGUGCCAGCAGCCGCGGUAAUACGGAGGAUGCGAGCGUUAUCCGGAUUUAUUGGGUUUAAAGGGUGCGCAGGCGGCGUGUCAAGCAAGCGGUAAAAUAGCGGGGCUCAACCCCGUCGAGCCGUUUGAACUGGCGCGCUUGAGUUCAGGCGAGGUAGGCGGAAUUCGUGGUGUAGCGGUGAAAUGCAUAGAUAUCACGAAGAACUCCGAUUGCGAAGGCAGCUUGCCAGUCUGCGACUGACGCUCAGGCACGAAAGUGUGGGUAUCGAACAGGAUUAGAUACCCUGGUAGUCCACACAGUAAACGAUGAGCGCUAGGUGUCCGGGUCGCAUGAGACUUGGG
rnacentral:rRNA from 1 species